rnacentral:piRNA from 1 species
AGGGACUCGGCUGCUACUGUGCCA